rnacentral:rRNA from 1 species
GAUGAACGCUGGCGGCGUGCCUAAUACAUGCAAGUCGAGCGAACAGACGAGGAGCUUGCUCCUCUUACGUUAGCGGCGGACGGGUGAGUAACACGUGGAUAACCUACCUAUAAGACUGGGAUAACUUCGGGAAACCGGAGCUAAUACCUGAUAAUAUAUUUAACCGCAUGGUUCAAUAGUGAAAGACGGUUUUGCUGUCACUUCUAGAUGGAUCCGCGCCGCAUUAGCUAGUUGGUAAGGUAACGGCUUACCAAGGCAACGAUGCGUAGCCGACCUGAGAGGGGGAUCGGCCACACUGGAACUGAGACACGGUCCAGACUCCUACGGGAGGCAGCAGUAGGGAAUCUUCCGCAAAGGGCGAAAGCCUGACGGAGCAACGCCGCGUGAGUGAUGAAGGUCUUCGGAUCGUAAAACUCUGUUAUUAGGGAAGAACAAAUGUGUAAGUAACUAUGCACGUCUUGAUGGUACCUAAUCAGAAAGCCACGGCUAACUACGUG